GUCAUGGCUCAGGAUGAACGCUGGCGGCGUGUCUAACACAUGCAAGUCGAGCGAAGCGGUUUUAAGGAAGUUUUCGGAUGGAAUUAAAACUGACUGAGCGGCGGACGGGUGAGUAACGCGUGGGUAACCUGCCUCAUACAGGGGGAUAACAGUUAGAAAUGGCUGCUAAUACCGCAUAAGCACACAGCUUCGCAUGGAGCAGUGUGAAAAACUCCGGUGGUAUGAGAUGGACCCGCGU
rnacentral:rRNA from 1 species